UACAGAGGGUGCGAGCGUUAAUCGGAAUUACUGGGCGUAAAGGGUGCGUAGGUGGUUACGUAAGUUAGGUGUGAAAGUCCUGGCUUAACCUGGGGAUUGCGCCUGAUACUGUGAAGCUAGAGUACGGAAGAGGCGAGUGGAAUUCCCCAGUGUAGAGGUGAAAUUCGUAGAUAUUGGGAAGAACACCGGUGGCGAAGGCGGCGAGCUGGUCCAUUACUGACGCUGAGGCGCGACAGCGUGGGGAGCAAACAGG
rnacentral:rRNA from 1 species